rnacentral:rRNA from 1 species
GCAGUAGGGAAUCUUCCGCAAUGGACGAAAGUCUGACGGAGCAACGCCGCGUGAGUGAUGAAGGUUUUCGGAUCGUAAAGCUCUGUUGUUAGGGAAGAACAAGUACCGUUCGAAUAGGGCGGUACCUUGACGGUACCUAACCAGAAAGCCACGGCUAACUACGUGCCAGCAGCCGCGGUAAUACGUAGGUGGCAAGCGUUGUCCGGAAUUAUUGGGCGUAAAGGGCUCGCAGGCGGUUUCUUAAGUCUGAUGUGAAAGCCCCCGGCUCAACCGGGGAGGGUCAUUGGAAACUGGGGAACUUGAGUGCAGAAGAGGAGAGUGGAAUUCCACGUGUAGCGGUGAAAUGCGUAGAGAUGUGGAGGAACACCAGUGGCGAAGGCGACUCUCUGGUCUGUAACUGACGCUGAGGAGCGAAAGCGUGGGGAGCGAACAGGAUUAGAUACCCCKG